rnacentral:rRNA from 1 species
UACCAGCACCCCGAGUGGUCGGGACGAUUAUUGGGCCUAAAGCAUCCGUAGCCGGUCUUGCAAGUCUUCCGUUAAAUCCACCUGCUUAACAGAUGGGCUGCGGAGGAUACUAUAAGGCUAGGAGGCGGGAGAGGCAAGCGGUACUCAGUGGGUAGGGGUAAAAUCCUCUGAUCCAUUGAAGACCACCAGUGGCGAAGGCGGCUUGCCAGAACGCGCUCGACGGUGAGGGAUGAAAGCUGGGGGAGCAAACCGGA